CUUCAGACUGAGCUGAAUAGAUAGACUGCUGGACCUAUAAAAUAGCUGCCUCAUCAGGAUAAAUCCAUGGACCAGCUGCUUCCAGUCUCCUCCUCUAACCGGGCCAUUCCGGGGUGGUGUGCAUUCCGGCCAUCGGAGGAACAGCCAGCAAGAAGGCAAUAUGAAUCACUCCUAUCCAGAGGGAACACAUAAAGAUUUGUGAUGCAGAAGAUGUCUUGUACAAGAAGCUUCCUCCCUCUCUGUAAAGACUGGAGAAGACUGCUGCGAUCUCUCAUUGAUUCACAUCCCCUCUGGCUUGUCAGGAAACUUCCGAUGGAGAUGAAAAGAGAAAGAGAAAGAGAAUAAAUGCUCUUGGAUAUGCAAGCCUCCUUAAUCAGCUGGAGAAAAACAGUCAAAGUUCACCGAAAGGUCAGGACUUAAGAGGAAGUAGUCCACAAUAUCUUCCUCGACAUAAAGUAUAGCCCAAGAUUGACGCUGCUUAACAGUAAAGGUGGCCACAGUAUUAUACUGACAAAGUCUCGCCUGCCUUAUAACCGGUGACCUCAUGAACUUGAUUUCUCAGGUAAGCCAUGACUUCUGUCUUUUGCAAACAAACAGGGAAUAAUAUAUUUUUAAAGAUAUUUGUUACUGUAGUUAUUCCUCGUUUUCUUCAAAAUGACGAGUGAAGGUGAUAGGAAGAACGUGGAACAAGUGAGCCAUCCAUCCACAUCAAUGGAGACAUCCAAUAGUCCAAUUGACACAGUCUAAGAGCUGGUGUCCAUUUACUUAUCAGCAGGCUGUUGGUUUCAUGGCAGACCGAGGCCAGGUUGAUAUGAUUUCACAUUUUCCACAUAAGAAAGGGACACUGCUCUCUGUACCUGCCAUGUUUUUGGUGCUCUGAUCCCGGCUUUGAUGAGGUCAUGAAUCUGUCUGGCUUACCACACGCUAAACAAUGGCUUCAAGAUGAAGUCAACGUCAAGGUUGAUUGACAUAGAGAGCAGGAUUUCCACUCAAAAGUUUCCAUGCAGAUAUAGUAAUGUCAUAAAGCUGAAGAAUUUUCUCUGUGUUGAAGCAAUCUUGUGUGGGGGCUCUCUCUCUCUCCGCACAUCCGAUAGUUCCAGUUCUGUAACAUCAAGGGCUGGAGCUGCCAAUUCCCUCCCAUGCGGCCUUGGAGCUGGAACGCCAAUACCAGGUGAAAACGGCAGAAGUUUUCCAUUAAUCCUCGCAGUGGGCCUGUCUGGGCUGGGGAGGCUGGGAGGACAUAGGACUGGGUCACCUCCACAGGCACGGCUGGGCUAGCGUUACUACCUCAAGACUGGGAGUUGACAGGAACGCUACUGUCUCCAGGGAGAAAGACUGGCCCAAUUAGACAACCAAGCCACCUCUAGAAUGAGCCGAGUGGAAGAGGAGAAGUACUUUAUUGCCCCACAAGGAAGAGAUUGAACGUGUGUGUUAAUAGAUUGGUUGAUGGUUAUCCUUUCAGUACUUCAAAGUACAGUAGAGGCAGACGCAAAAACGUUUUAUGAGUGAUGGCUUUCUUUGGACAUUAUUGCUAUUUUAGCUUGUCACGGUUUGAGACAGGCUGGAUUAUAGGAUAUUAGGAUAUAGGAUAUUCAGGAUGGAUUAUAGCCUUUGAGACUAUAAUGCUUGUCCAAUUAAAGCACUAUAGAUAAUCCUGUUGAUUUGAACCUUUUAUUUUGAUAUAAAGAGGAGUAUAAAAUACCUGUGAUGACUCAUCUUACUGCCAUGAAACAGAGGAGUACAGAAAUCAACAAUAAAUUGCACAUC
ensembl:lncRNA